CCUGGAGAGGAGAAGCGGCACAAAACUCAAGAAAGAGGCGUAGGUCUCAGUGGAUGGUUGUGCCCCUACGCUUUCCAGCGACCCGUUCCGACUGGCUGCAGAACCGUUCAGAACUUCCCGGCUCUUCCCCAUUUAGGAGAAAACCCAAACAAAGCAAACUAGCAAACGUCUGGGUAACAGAAUCAGGUGAGAAGAGGCGCAGGCCCGGGCAGAACCGCAGGUACAACCCUUCCCUCGCCCGCUCUAGAAGCGGGCACCCAGCCUGACUGCCCUUUCCUCUCCACUACACCUUGCCUUUGCCCCUGGGCUAAGUAACCACAGUGGCUAGGGGACGGGCGGCCUGUUGAUCUAGCCUGGAACCCGUGUUUCUUUCCCCAGACUUCAGCCCAGGAGGAGUCCUUAAGAGGCACAUGAGCAGGGCACCCAGGGCCUGGGCCCGGAGUCACUGGUGAGAGAAGUGUGCACACACUCUCAGAAUCCGAGUGAGGCCACACCACGGUGGCCACCCCAGAUUCACAUCUACGCUUUGCCAGAAAAACCACCCGGCCUCCUGGAGAGCCUGUUUCUUCCUCUGUGGAUGGCACCCAGCCGGCUCCAGUAGGCUCACCCAGAGCCACACCAGCCACCCUCCACCUGCUCGGGAGGGGGCCAGCAGGGAGCGACAGCGGGGCUUCUCGGCCAUGGCGCUAUGGACGUCCAAGUCAUUCUUGGUUGGUUACAGGGGCCUUCUGUGUACGGUAUCCCUGUCUCUGCUCGCCAGUGGCGCUUACCUAGUGACAACUAGAACGGCUACAGAGAGGGCCACGUGACACCGCCCCCCACCACUGGAACUGCUGUACGUGCUCGCAAAUCUUCGGGCGUGCUGCAAGAGGUGCGGCUUCCUUGCCAUCUGCUUGAGUGACUAAUGGAUAGAACGAAGCCGAAGGGCUGGUGUGUGACCUUGGGGACGAGGCCGUAAAAAGCACUGCAGCUUCCUUGAAGCGAACUGCCACGAUCUUGAGGACACUUUAGUGGCCUCGAGAGGUGCCACCUUGACUGUGGCCUCCGUCAAGCCUUCAAGUGCCCGUAGCCCCUGCGGAUCCUGGCAAACACCCAGAUCCUGAGCUAAGACCACCCUGCUGAGCUGUUCCCAAAUUCCCGACCCCCUGAAACUGUGAGAUAAUAAAUGUAUGUUGUUUAAAGCUA